ACUCCAUGGUGUGGACAUUUUCAUUGCAAAUCCUUGAAUCUUUCCCAGGCAUCAUGAAGCGUUUCAUUGUCACGUUGCUUGAAACUGGUGAUGUCAGUCCUCAGCUU
rfam:Corchorus olitorius cultivar O-4 contig09931, whole genome shotgun sequence.